ACCGUGUUGUUAAGCAGUGUGUAAAAAAUUACAAAAAGUAGGAUCAUGUCUUGGAUUUUGCAAUAAUGCUAGGAGAUUUCUCAGAAGAAAAGUAGCUGCAUUAGGCCCCCUAAUACUAUACUGAACCUCUUUCUUAAUAUCCAGUGUCUUAAUACUUGGUGAAAUAUGU
ensembl:snoRNA Gm26040 small nucleolar RNA SNORA81